rnacentral:rRNA from 1 species
GAUGAACGCUGGCGGCGUGCUUAACACAUGCAAGUCGAACGAGAAGUGAAGACGGAAACCUUCGGGCGGAAGGCUUUAUUUCGAGUGGCGGACGGGUGAGUAACGCGUGGGUAACCUGCCUCAUACAGGGGGAUAACAGUUGGAAACGACUGUUAAUACCGCAUAAGACCACAGCACCGCAUGGUGCGGGGGUAAAAACUCCGGUGGUAUGAGAUGGACCCGCGUUCGAUUAGCCAGUUGGCGGGGUAACGGCCCACCAAAGCGACGAUCGAUAGCCGAUCUGAGAGGAUGACCGGCCACAUUGGGACUGAGACACGGACCAAACUCCUACGGGAGGCAGCAGUGGGGAAUAUUGCACAAUGGGGGAAACCCUGAUGCAGCGACGCCGCGUGAGUGAAGAAGUAUUUCGGUAUGUAAAGCUCUAUCAGCAGGGAAGAAAAUGACGGUACCUGAGUAAGAAGCCCCGGCUAACUACGUG